GGACUACCCGGGUUUCUAAUCCCGUUUGCUCCCCUGGCCUUCGCGCCUCAGCGUCAGGAACUGUCCAGAGAUCCGCCUUCGCCACUGGUCUUCCUCACGAUAUCUACGCAUUUCACUGCUACACCGUGAAUUCCAAUCUCCUCUCCAGUCCUCAAGCAAAGCAGUAUCGAGUGCAGUUUCAGAGUUGAGCUCUGAGAUUUCACACCCGACUUGCCUCGCCGCCUACGCGCCCUUUACGCCCAAUGAAUCCGAACAACGCUCGAGACCUCUGUAUUACCGCGGCUGCUGGCAC
rnacentral:rRNA from 1 species